rnacentral:rRNA from 1 species
UGGGGAAUUUUGGACAAUGGGGGAAACCCUGAUCCAGCCAUCCCGCGUGUGCGAUGAAGGCCUUCGGGUUGUAAAGCACUUUUGGCAGGAAAGAAACGUCAUGGGUUAAUACCCCGUGAAACUGACGGUACCUGCAGAAUAAGCACCGGCUAACUACGUGCCAGCAGCCGCGGUAAUACGUAGGGUGCAAGCGUUAAUCGGAAUUACUGGGCGUAAAGCGUGCGCAGGCGGUUCGGAAAGAAAGAUGUGAAAUCCCAGAGCUCAACUUUGGAACUACAUUUUUAACUACCGGGCUAGAGUGUGUCAGAGGGAGGUGGAGUUCCGAGUGUAGCAGUGAAAUGCGUAGAUAUGCGGAGGAACACAGAUGGCGAAGGCAGCCUCCUGGGAUAACACUGACGCUCAUGCACGAAAGCGUGGGGAGCAAACAGG